CCGGAAAUUCCUCCGGCGGAGCGUGCCGGGCCGCCGCCCCUGCGCUGCCUUCACCCGGCGGCUCCGCCGUCCGCCGCUCCGCCGCGCAUCCGCCGCGCGUGACGGGCCCGUCCCCGAGCCCGGGCGGCCCGCAGCCCUCCGGAGCGGGGCUCUGGUAACGGGCGAGCCUUGCGGAGUCGCGAGCGGAGCUGCCCGCGGGGCGGGCCGUCACCGAGCGGCAUCGCCUCGCGCCCGGGCGCGCUGGGAAGCGCACGGGGGCCGCGGCGGCUGGCCUGGGACAGGACAUCGGGUGGUGGCGCGUGGGGGAGCGCGGUGGGAAGCGUGCGACGGCAUCGCUGUCUGCAGGGCCCCGGUGCCGGAACCUCAGCGGUUCCCGGGGAACUAAACGCGUCUGCCAGCGUGCGUGGAUAGUGGUGUGGGGAGCCAGACGAUCCAGAAAGCGAAGUCGGCCGGCAUAAAUGAGAUUACUCAGGCAGGCGUAAGCGUGCGUGUAUUAAAUAGGCACUUCACUGGAUGAAGCCUGUGGUAGCCUUCUCUCCAUGGAGCCUUAGAAAGCAGACACCACUAAGGAAGGAUGUAGAUCCCAGGUGUCCUUCCCCCGAGAGGUACUGUCCGCAGCACCACGAGACGAGCACCUUCUCUGCUGCAACUGGUUCCUGUAACAGCUGUAAGAGAGGAGCAGCUGGGGCCAGCGUGACGAGAGCAGCGUUCCUCUCCCCUCAAGCCAGCCCGGUGAGGACCUUGUGGUCUGGAGGCCUGCAUGUGCUGCGCACCCCGAGCACGCGGCCGCGCUGCGGCUCGCCUCGCCCCUCCGCCUGUCCGCGGAGCUGCCUGGGUGCCCCAGUUUCCUCUGGGGAACAUUUGUGCAUUUUAACAGUGUUUUAAGACUGGCAGAUUGCCUCUCAUCGCAUCAAAAAAGUGUGCUUCAUUUUGCUGGUUGGACCUAGGCCCUUAUAAGAACCCUUUCACAAUCCUGCACGAAGUGGAUCUUUAUUGUAGAUUUUCUUCUGAGUGCACUGAAUUUACCAGUUUGUUUAUGGUUGCAUUUGGCUUUGAAUAGGGCCAUGUUUCAUGAAGCAGUCUAUUAAAAAAAAAAAGCCAUUGGGUUACAUUUUCAUGUGUGUUAGUUCAAGAGCACAUGUAUGUAACGUGCGUGUUAGACUCAGAACCUGGACGAUGCUAUUUAAGGUCCAUUUGCAUUGCUAUUAAAAUGCUUCCGUAAUCAAAGCCACUGAUAGUUUAAACCCCCAGACGAGGCUGGCAGCUCCCAGUUGUGGUGCGAGGGGUGGCUGCGGUGUGCUGGAAGCGCCCAGCUGCAGCCAGCCCGCUUGUGGCCGGUCCCACCGCGCCGCCGCCGAUCAGCGGUGGAGCAGAAGGAGGGUGUAGACCUGACUGAACAAAUAAUGGUAAAAGUCUGUCUGAAGUGUGCUGUUUGGAAAUCCCAAAAUACUUAAGACCACUGCAGAAUAAUUUUACAAUGGCCUCUGUGAGUUAAUUUAGGCACCGUCUGUGCAUGCUGAUGCUCCAUGCUUGUGUUUUAAUUUGUUCACUGGAUUAAAUUUUAGUAGAUCUGUGGCACAGAUUCUGCCAUCACUUGCCCAUGACCAGGUUAUCUCAUGGAAAUACCGUGGUCUUUCAGAGGCACUGUGGGAGCUGGAAUUGGCUUUGGAGAGUUCCUCCAGGCUCCCGCAGCCCACGGCUUGGCUGUCUGCAGCAGAAGUAUUAUCGAGGAAAUUGAUUCCACAGCUGGGGGUGAAAACAAGGCUAGGAUAUUCCUACGGUCUUGGGGGAAGAAUCCUCUUGCUUGUUUUAUGGUUUGUUGUGUAUUCUGUGGCACAGGGAAGAGAAAAACUAAGAGCCUUUUCACAAAUAGACUGGAAUGGUGUGGAUGUUUAUACAAAGAUUUUUUUUCCCCAAUACUGAGUAAUUUUAAAAUACAUUAUUUUUGUAUAUGUAUAUUUACAUGUUAGAAUGUGGCUUUUCCACUUUUAUUUUUAUUUUUAGCACUCCAAAGCCUCCUGUUAAAUAAAUAAUGUACAAAACAUCUUUGAGAAGAUGGUUGUCUGGUUU